CUUACCCCAACCCAUCGCCGCCCCACCCAGACGCCGGAUCACACCUCGGUGGUUGCUGGACUCGUGUCGGAUUCACGCCAGACGGCGUAUCUAGUCCCGCCGCACCAGGAUCCUAGCGCCGCCACCCACCCCGCCCCUCCUUUGUGCGGGAUCCUAGGGCCGCCGCCCACCCCCGACGCUCCUGCUCGUCGGUGGAUCCGCCGUCUUUGACCACGGGGCGACCUCCUCUACAGACCGGCAGCCAAGCCGCCGGGCUCGUGCCGCCCUCCAGGCCGGCCGUCUUCCAGAGGCUCGAUGACGCGCCGCCGAACCGGCCACUGUCUCCGGCUAGGAUAAGGUCGCCACGAGCUUGUCCCUCCUCACCCACCUUCUCCACCCAAAUUUCCGCGUGAUCCGCCGUGCAGGAACCACCUUUGCCGCUUCUUCAUGCUUCCGCGCCCCGCCGAUCCCUGGAGGCCGUGCUGCCGCGCCGGUGAACACCACCUCCCAGCGACCAACUUAUCCCCUCUCAAAAAGUUGAUCAAAUCCAUGGAGGCGAGGUCGCCAUUCCCCUUCGCAGUGCAUGUCGUGUACCCGAGCGGUUCAAUUCAUGGUUUACCAACUUUUGCAGGAGAUCGUGGUACAAGAAAGGAGAGAGAGACAUGAGUCUUGAGCAUAUACUGUAUGAGCAAUUCUGGAGCCUCGCCGGCUGCUCCUAUCUCAACCCAGACUAGAAUCGAGUGCAUCGAUAGCUGCGGGCCGAGCUUCUUCUCCCUCGCCGGCGAGCUCCUUCUCCCUCUGCCAGUUGAUUGAGGAGGUGCUGGUCAACACACCCCCUGGUGGUGUCCUAUGGUAGGCGCGCUUGCAGUGCAGUCCGGCGGUGAGUGCGCUUGCACUGCAGUUCGUCGGCGAGCCGUUUGCAGUGUAGUCUGGUGGUGCACCGUCGAUGCGGUCUUUAGGAGGGUGGUGGUGGCACCCUCGCCUGGAUCUGGGAGGAGUUGGGUAGGAUGGGCGGCGCGCUGGAGAAGGAGGCGGCGACCACUCACCGCAUCGCCAGCCUCCGUGCAGCUCAGUUGCCUCUCCUCGUGCAGCUUGCUUGCCGCCCCCGUGCAGCUCACCUCCGCUGAGCAAACUCUCUCUGGCGAGUCCACAUCGCGUCCGCACCACAUCGUGCAGUUUGAGUGCAGUUUUUGAUUAUUUUUGCAGCAGUACAUCCAUCCAACCCAACAAUUUCAGAGUUUGUGUGUUCAGUGCAGUACCGCAGUGCAAUGCAGUGCAGUUUCGGUUUCAGAGUCCGUUGAAGGCCUCGUGGUGCUAUCCUCACUUAAUUUUUAUGUGAAUUGUGUGUAUAGCAUGUGUAACAGAAUUGCAAGGCCAAAUUUGUUGUAGAAAAUGAUGGUUAGAUGCGUUUCAGCGUAAAAUCCUAUGUGGUUCACUUGGUAAACCAAAAAGUCUCUGGUAUGUAAAUUUUUGAAGCUCA